CGUGUCGUGAGAUGUUGGGUUAAGUCCCGCAACGAGCGCAACCCCUGCAUUCAGUUGCCAUCGGGUAAUGCCGGGCACUCUGGAAGGACUGCCAUCGACAAGAUGGAGGAAGGUGGGGAGUGACGUCAAGUCAUCAUGGCCCUUAUGUCCAGGGCGACACACGUGCUACAAUGGCCGGCACAACGGGAAGCGAGUUCGCGAGGACGAGCGGAUCCCUCAAAGCCGGUCGCAGUUCGGAUUGAAGUCUGCAACUCGACUUCAUGAAGCUGGAAUCGCUAGUAAUCGUGGAUCAGCCAAGCCGCGGUGAAUACGUUCCCGGGCCUU
rnacentral:rRNA from 1 species